CGACAAAGAGUGUGAGAGACACUCUCGCCGAAAGUCCAAGGGUUCCUGCUUAAAGCUAAUCUGAGCAGGGUAAGCCGACCCCUAAGGCGAGGCCGAAAGGCGUAGUCGAUGGGAACCAGGUUAAUAUUCCUGGGCCAGGAGGAUGUGACGGAUCUGAGCCGUUGUUCAUACUUAUCGGAUUGUGUGGGCAGCCAACAGGUUCCUGGAAAUAGCCCUCCAUGAGAUCGUACCCUAAACCGACACAGGUGGACUGGUAGAGAAUACCAAGGCGCUUGAGAGAACGAUGUUGAAGGAACUCGGCAAAAUACCUCCGUAAGUUCGCGAGAAGGAGGCCCGGUUCCAAGGCAACUUGGAGCUGGGGGCACAAACCAGGGGGUGGCGACUGUUUACUAAAAACACAGGGCUCUGCGAAGUCGCAAGACGACGUAUAGGGUCUGACGCCUGCCCGGUGCUGGAAGGUUAAGGAAGGUAGUUAGCUCCGGCAAAGCUAUUGACUGAAGCCCCAGUAAACGGCGGCCGUAACUAUAACGGUCCUAAGGUAGCGAAAUUCCUUGUCGGGUAAGUUCCGACCUGCACGAAUGGCGUAACGACUUCCCCGCUGUCUCCAACGUAGACUCAGCGAAAUUGAAUUCCCCGUGAAGAUGCGGGGUUCCCGCGGUUAGACGGAAAGAC
rnacentral:rRNA from 1 species